rnacentral:rRNA from 1 species
UAGGGAAUCUUCGGCAAAUGGACGGAAAGUCUGACCGAGGCAACGCCGCGUGAGUGAAGAAAGGUUUUCGGAUCGUAAAGCUCUGUUGUAAGAGAAGAACGAGUGUGAGAGUGGAAAGUUCACACUGUGACGGUAUCUUACCAGAAAGGGACGGCUAACUACGUGCCAGCAGCCGCGGUAAUACGUAGGUCCCGAGCGUUGUCCGGAUUUAUUGGGCGUAAAGCGAGCGCAGGCGGUUAGAUAAGUCUGAAGUUAAAGGCUGUGGCUUAACCAUAGUACGCUUUGGAAACUGUUUAACUUGAGUGCAAGAGGGGAGAGUGGAAUUCCAUGUGUAGCGGUGAAAUGCGUAGAUAUAUGGAGGAACACCGGUGGCGAAAGCGGCUCUCUGGCUUGUAACUGACGCUGAGGCUCGAAAGCGUGGGGAGCAAACAGGAUUAGAUACCCUGGUAGUCCACGCCGUAAACGAUGAGUGCUAGGUGUUAGACCCUUUCCGGGGUUUAGUGCCGUAGCUAACGCAUUAAGCACUCCGCUUGGGGAGUUCGANNGCAAGGUUG